CCGCGUGAGUGAUGAAGGUUUUCGGAUCGUAAAGCUCUGUUGUUAGGGAAGAACAAGUGCCGUUCAAAUAGGGCGGCACCUUGACGGUACCUAACCAGAAAGCCACGGCUAACUACGUGCCAGCAGCCGCGGUAAUACGUAGGUGGCAAGCGUUGUCCGGAAUUAUUGGGCGUAAAGGGCUCGCAGGCGGUUUCUUAAGUCUGAUGUGAAAGCCCCCGGCUCAACCGGGGAGGGUCAUUGGAAACUGGGGAACUUGAGUGCAGAAGAGGAGAGUGGAAUUCCACGUGUAGCGGUGAAAUGCGUAGAGAUGUGGAGGAACACCAGUGGCGAAGGCGACUCUCUGGUCUGUAACUGACGCUGAGGAGCGAAAGCGUGGGGAGCGAACAGGAUUAGAUACCCUGGUAGUCCACGCCGUAAACGAUGAGUGCUAAGUGUUAGGGGGUUUCCGCCCCUUAUUGCUGCAGCUAACGCAUUAAGCACUCCGCCGGGGGGAGA
rnacentral:rRNA from 1 species